rnacentral:tRNA from 1 species
GCGCCGAUGGUGGAGUGGUAUCAUGUAUCAUUCCCAAUGAUGAGUCCCGGGUUCGAACCCCGGUCGGCGCA